UACGUAGGGUGCAAGCGUUGUCCGGAAUUAUUGGGCGUAAAGAGCUCGUAGGCGGUUUGUCGCGUCUGCUGUGAAAUCUGGGGGCUCAACCCCCCAGCCUGCAGUGGGUACGGGCAGACUAGAGUGCGGUAGGGGAGAUUGGAAUUCCUGGUGUAGCGGUGAAAUGCGCAGAUAUCAGGAGGAACACCGGUGGCGAAGGCGGGUCUCUGGGCCGUAACUGACGCUGAGGAGCGAAAGCAUGGGGAGCGAACAGG
rnacentral:rRNA from 1 species